CCUACGGGCGGCAGCAGUGAGGAAUAUUGGUCAAUGGCCGGAAGGCUGAACCAGCCAUGCCGCGUGAAGGUCAGUGCCCUAUGGGCGUUAAACUUCUUUUGUGCGGGAGCAAUAAUGGUCACGUGUGGCCAGGCGAUAGUACCGUACGAAUAAGCAUCGGCUAACUCCGUGCCAGCAGCCGCGGUAAUACGGGGGAUGCAAGCGUUACCCGGAUUUAAUGGGUUUAAAGGGUGCGUAGGCUGUGAGGUAAGUCAGGGGUGAAAUGCCUCCGCUCAACGGGGUGAAGUGCCAUUGAUACUGCCUUGCUGGAAUGCGGAUGCCGUGGGAGGAAUGUGUGGUGUAGCGGUGAAAUGCAUAGAUAUCACACAGAACACCGAUUGCGAAGGCAUCUCACGAAUCCGCGAUUGACGCUGAUGCACGAAAGCGUGGGUAUCAAACAGGAUUAGAUACCCUAGUAGUC
rnacentral:rRNA from 1 species